AGAAUGUUCAGAGUUAGUCUCGAUGGUUCGAUCUGUCACAUGAAGAAUGGCCUGAUUUUUCGAAUCUGCUAGAUGAUUUUGGAUUGCUACGACCCGUCUCUCUUUAUCCUUCUUCUCGCACUCUUUUAUUUCUCGUUUAUGUAAUGUUCAUGUGGACUAUUUAGACGGUUAUUCUAGAGUGUUAUUUUUAAAAAUUAUUUUGGUAAACUCUAUUCUUCCUAAUUUGGCAACCAAUCAUGAAAUUAUU
rnacentral:sRNA from 1 species